GUAAGGAGUUUUCGGCAAUGGGGGGAACCCUGACCGAGCAACGCCGCGUGAGUGAUGACGGCCCUAUGGGUUGUAAAGCUCUGUUAUAAGGGACGAACAGCUUUGCUAGGAAAUGAGCAGAGUCUGACGGUACUUUAUCAGAAAGCCGCGGCUAACUACGUGCCAGCAGCCGCGGUAAUACGUAGGUGGCAAGCGUUAUCCGGAAUUAUUGGGCGUAAAGAGUGAGCAGGCGGCAGAGUAAGUAUGAGGUUAAAGCGUGUGGCUCAACCCCAUAAAGCCUUGAAAACUGAUCAGCUAGAGUACGAGAGAUGUGAAGGGAACUCCAUGUGUAGCGGUGAAAUGCGUAGAUAUAUGGAAGAACACCAGUGGCGAAGGCGCUUCACAAGCUCGAAACUGACGCUCAGUCACGAAAGCGUGGGUAGCAAAUAGGAUUAGAUACCCUAGUAGUCC
rnacentral:rRNA from 1 species